UACGUAGGGUGCGAGCGUUUAAUCGGAAUUACUGGGCGUAAAGCGUGCGCAGGCGGUUUCGUUGUGUCGGCGGUGAAAGCCCUCGGGCUCAACCUGGGAAUGGCCGUUGAACUGGCGAACUGGAGUGUGGCAGAGGGGGGUGGAAUUCCGCGUGUAGCAGUGAAAUGCGUAGAGAUGCGGAGGAACACCGAUGGCGAAGGCAGCCCCUCGGCUGACACUGACGCUCAGGCACGAAAGCGUGGGGAGCAAACAGG
rnacentral:rRNA from 1 species